ACGAGUAGAGUGGCGCACGGGUGAGUAACGCGUAAGUUAAUCUACCUCGGCAUCUGGAAUAACUCACCGAAAGGUGUGCUAAUACCGGAUACGUUGAGUAAUCAAGAAAGGUGGCCUCUGCAUAUGCUACCGUGCUGGGAUGAGCUUGCGUACCAUUAGCUAGUUGGUAGGGUAAUGGCCUACCAAGGCGACGAUGGUUAGCGGGUCUGAGAGGAUGAUCCGCCACACUGGAACUGGAACACGGACCAGACUCCUACGGGAGGCAGCAGUGAGGAAUAUUGCGCAAUGGGGGGAAACCCUGACGCAGCGACGCCGCGUGGAUGAUGAAGGCCUUCGGGUCGUAAAAUCCUGUCAAGUGGAAAGAAGUGCAUAGUGGCUAAUAUCCAUUAUGUUUGACGGUACCACUGAAGGAAGCACCGGCUAACUCCGUGCCAGCAGCCGCGGUAA
rnacentral:rRNA from 1 species